rnacentral:rRNA from 1 species
AACGAACGCUGGCGGCGUGCCUAACACAUGCAAGUCGAACGAUUGCCUUCGGGUGAUAGUGGCGCACGGGUGCGUAACGCGUGGGAAUCUGCCCUUAGGUCCGGAAUAACAGCUGGAAACGGCUGCUAAUCCCGGCUGAUAACGCGAGAUCAAAGAUUUAUCGCCUGAGGAUGAGCCCGCUUUGGAGUAGGUAGUUGGUGGGGUAAAGGCCUACCAAGCCGACGAUCCAUAGCUGGUCUGAGAGGAUGAUCAGCCACACUGGGACUGAGACACGGCCCAGACUCCUACGGGAGGCAGCAGUGGGGAAUAUUGGACAAUGGGCGCAAGCCUGAUCCAGCAAUGCCGCGUGAGUGAUGAAGGCCCUAGGGUUGUAAAGCUCUUUUACCCGAGAAGAUAAUGACUGUACCGGGAGAAUAAGCCCCGGCUAACUCCGUG